AGAGGAGCAAGAAUAAACUACUUAUUAUAGUCUGAUAUUAUUGGGAAUUCCUGUGAAAAUUACAACACACAAAAUAUUAAUUAAUAAUUACAAAAGUUGCUAUAUGCAUUGUGUACAUAUAUUUUUAGAAUAAAAAUAUACCUAUGAACCCAAUCUUUUCCAUCUAAUCAAAGCUUGGAAUUAGGUAUAUGAUGUUAAUCAAUUGUGUCCAUCUUCGAAAAUCCAGGGGAGACAUAGUAUUUUUCCUUAAUAAUAUUUCCUCCAUAAUAUUUACCUUCCUGUUAACUUAUUAACUGCUAUAUGUAAGUUUAAGUAGCAUAAUAUUGUAUGACUGUAUUCCUAUUUUCUACAAUAGUAUUCAUCAUAACUACAUAAUAUAAUUAUUUAUAAAAUAACUAUGAGUAGGUAGGCAUUUUAAUUUCUAAUAAACUGAAACUGGCUUUAUGUCAAUAAAUAUAAAUCAUGCAAAUUAAAAUUAAAAUAAAAGUCAAAUGGGCACAUAUCCCCACCUUGCCCCCAAUAGAUGCUAAUAAUGUUAAUAUCUUU